CAGUCGCCGCGGUAAUACGUAGGGUGCGAGCGUUAAUCGGAAUUACUGGGCGUAAAGCGUGCGCAGGCGAUUUUGUAAGACAGGCGUGAAAUCCCCGGGCUCAACCUGGGAAUGGCGCUUGUGACUGCAAAGCUAGAGUGCGGCAGAGGGGGAUGGAAUUCCGCGUGUAGCAGUGAAAUGCGUAGAUAUGCGGAGGAACACCGAUGGCGAAGGCAAUCCCCUGGGCCUGCACUGACGCUCAUGCACGAAAGCGUGGGGAGCAAACAGGAUUAGAUACCCCUGUAGUCCCUGUCUCUUAUAA
rnacentral:rRNA from 1 species